AGGAACGGAGGGAGUAAUAUGAUCUGAAGUAUCUGAUGUUGAUACAUCCAUGCAUGGUCUUCAAAGUUCUCUGAUUGCC
rnacentral:snoRNA from 1 species